GAUGAACGCUGGCGGCGUGCCUAACACAUGCAAGUCGAGCGAGGGUUUGCUCAGUAUUGAGUAUUCUAAGUCUAGAAUGUUCAAUUCUGAGCAAAACCAAGCGGCGGACGGGUGAGUAACGCGUGGGUAACCUGCCCUAUACACAUGGAUAACAUACUGAAAAGUUUACUAAUACAUGAUAAUAUAUAUUUGUGGCAUCGCAGAUAUAUCAAAGUGUUAGCGGUAUAGGAUGGACCCGCGUCUGAUUAGCUAGUUGGUGAGAUAACUGCCCACCAAGGCGACGAUCAGUAGCCGACCUGAGAGGGUGAUCGGCCACAUUGGAACUGAGACACGGUCCAAACUCCUACGGGAGGCAGCAGUGGGGAAUAUUGCACAAUGGGCGAAAGCCUGAUGCAGCAACGCCGCGUGAACGAUGAAGGUCUUCGGAUCGUAAAGUUCUGUUGCAGGG
rnacentral:rRNA from 1 species